CAGUCGCCGCGGUAAUACAGAGGGUGCGAGCGUUAAUCGGAUUUACUGGGCGUAAAGCGUGCGUAGGCGGCUUCUUAAGUCGGAUGUGAAAUCCCUGAGCUUAACUUAGGAAUUGCAUUCGAUACUGGGAAGCUAAAGUAUGGGAGAGGAUGGUAGAAUUCCAGGUGUAGCGGUGAAAUGCGUAGAGAUCUGGAGGAAUACCGAUGGCGAAGGCAGCCAUCUGGCCUAAUACUGACGCUGAGGUACGAAAGCAUGGGGAGCAAACAGGAUUAGAUACCCCCGUAGUCCCUGUCUCUUAUAC
rnacentral:rRNA from 1 species